rnacentral:lncRNA from 1 species
CAUUCUUUCUUGCUGGGAAUGAGGCUGUCAAUCUACCUGAUUAAGAGUGAGAGAAGAGAGUGUUUGCUGUGCAUCAGGAUGUUUGGUGGACAUUCCAUUGUGGAUGAACCCUGGCUUCUUGCCCAACCGCUUAUGUUGGAAAUGCCCACCAGACGGGACCUCCCUGGAGACCAAACCCAGCCCAUCUUGGGAGCUGGCCAGUGCCACAUCCUCCCCCUCUUGCAGGGACCAGCUGAGUCAGUUGCUCCAUCUCGCACCUCUCAACACCUUCCUGUGUGGCGCUGGGCCACCUGUGAAGCCCUGGCAUGCCUUGCUACCAUAGCUCGCAGAAGUUAUGGAGAAAAGGAGGCCCACACAGACUGAGAAAACACCAAGGCGAGGACAUGGCUGGGAUCCCAGCGCAGGAUCCCCAUUCUUCUGCAGUCACAGUCUUGGCUGAACUGAACCCUUUCCUCCCAGUGUUUGGCUUGGAUGCUAGACCAGGUCCCGGGAGAAACCUCACUCCUGGGAAGCUCCGGCAUGCUACCCCUGUUGGCUGGGAGACAGCUCUGCCACAUUUUUUUCAACUCUUCCAUUGCUCUGCUGAUUCACAGGCUCCAGCUUCCAGAACCUUUCCCCCUGUCAGGACAGUAGUCCACCUCCCUUUCCACAUGCUUGUCCUGUUUGCUCGUUGGGUUCCAGGAGGCUCUCUCCGUCCCCCGGCUCUGUGUAUGGCCCCACCGUCCUUACCACACUGUCCUGCAAGUGCUCGUUAACUCGCCUGGCUUCUCCUCUGCCAUCUCUGCUCCCUCAAUGAAGGAACCCUGGGAUCUUGCUCGCCCCUAGUAUCUGGCACAUAGUAUACCCCCAGGAAGUAUUUAUUGUGAAAAUCAAUACAUUAUCUGAAUUGA